CUUCAAACCCAAAAACUUCACAAAUCUCAGAAAUUGAAGGUUCAAAUCAAGUUCUAAGCGAAAAUCGAACAAAGAUUAGUGAUCCCCAUUGCAAGGAGAUCAUAAGUUUGUCGCCUAAUGAGCUAGGUGGAGGCUUGGAAAAGAAGCGUCAAACGAAUGAAGCACGAGAAGAAAACGUAUUCGGAUGCGAGG